UGCGCAGGCGCAACUAAGAACUCGGUCCCGGAAUUGGGACGGGGUGAAGGCGGCUCUGGAAUGUCCGCGGCCUGGAUCCUGUGUGCGCAGGCGCAGUCCCGGUGUCUACUGGACUCCAGGGGUGCCUAGUUGCGUCUGCAACCCUGGGUGUUCUCCCGCCUGCCGUCGCUCCGCCUACGUCUAGACUCCGCCCGGCUGCCCAGGCUCGAAUUGCGCAAUCGGUAGCGGGGAAAGCGCUACGUGGAGACCGGAUUCGGUGGAUGCUGAGCUCCGGAGCUGGGAGGCUAGAGGGCGGUAAUUUCUAAACUGUUUGCUCAGUUGCUGAACCUAUUAUACAACUGUGGACACCAGCAAAAGAAACCUCGAUUCAGCAGCAACAGCAAACACUCCAUUUGCGGAAAGGCUACAUUUUCUGCUUGGAGCCCAGCCCCCUGGCCAAACCUGCACAGACCCCCCGUCCUGCGAAGUCCUGCGGUCUCUAUCGAUGCACACUAGUUUCUUUGUGACCUCCUCCCCCAGGACCUUGAAUGGAUGCUGAACAUCCCUCCUGAGAAACCUGAGGAGGAUAUUAAAAAGACAGCCAUGGUUUUCCUACUGCUUACUGCCAAGUUUCUUGAGGGCCCAGCUGUUGGGUUUUUAACCAGUUGAGAAGUAAGACAAAGGAGUCAGCAGGUCAUCAAUGCUACUUUACAGAGCAUAGCUUCUGACUUGGAGCAAGUGGAGUUGUUAACACAGACUCCAGAAUUUGACCACUCACCAUCUUUGGGCAACACCAGAACAGGGCAGGCUCCCUCGUGUGGAAAAGGUGCUCCCUGUGUGGGUAGCUCCUAAGAAAAGGAACAGAGGCAGGAAUUAAGCCAUGCGUGACUUCUUUCUCCUUCUAAACACAGCGGCCAGGUAAGUCAGUUCACCUCCCUGGGGGAGGAAUAUGCGAGGGAGCAGAAGAAGCCAGGUGCGUUGUGCUAAUGGGUGUCCCUCCACCUGGACAAGGUAAAUCAAGAGGGGGCUGGGAAUGAGCUUCCAACGUCCAUCUGGCCCAGAGUCAGUAGUGGGAGACGACCAGAAUCAGGAGGAUUUAACUGGGGCUGGAGUGGAAGGAAGGGGCACUGGAGUGUGCUGCAAGAUAUUUAACAGUUAGCUCUCCAGAAAAACAGUCUAUCAGUUUAUACAUUUUACUGUAGAAGGGUGUGUAGCACACAAUUUAUAAGUGCUAAUGAAACAUACAAUAUUCUUUAUUUUAAAUUCCAUACAGCCAACUCAUUCUGACUUUCAUUGAGUUUUGCUGAACUUAGAGCCAUAGCCAACCUGCGGUUUCAGUUCAGCCAUGACUGGACAAGUGGAGUAAUUUCCACCAUCCAAAUAACAAUAGGUGAAAAUAACUUACAGGCAUACACAAUAGUAAAAUGUCAUAAGAUUAUUAAGAAGUGA